rnacentral:rRNA from 1 species
GAACGCUGGCGGCAGCUAACACAUGCAAGUCGAGCGGGGAUAGGGUGCUUGCACCUGAUUCCUAGCGGCGGACGGGUGAGUAAUGCUUAGGAAUCUGCCUAUUAGUGGGGGGACAACGUUCCGAAAGGGACGCUAAUACCGCAUACGUCCUACGGGAGAAAGCAGGGGAUCUUCGGACCUUGCGCUAAUAGAUGAGCCUAAGUCGGAUUAGCUAGUUGGUGGGGUAAAGGCCUACCAAGGCGACGAUCUGUAGCGGGUCUGAGAGGAUGAUCCGCCACACUGGGACUGAGACACGGCCCAGACUCCUACGGGAGGCAGCAGUGGGGAAUAUUGGACAAUGGGGGGAACCCUGAUCCAGCCAUGCCGCGUGUUGUGAAGAAGGCCUUUUUGGUUGUAAAGCACUUUAAGCGAGGAGGAGGCUUACCUGGUUAAUACCUGGGAUAAGUGGACGUUACUCGCAGAAUAAGCACCGGCUAACUCUGUGCCAGCCGCCGC